AAGAAUGCAACCAGAAAUUUAAGUUCUAAACACUCCCUCUCUCAAGAACUCUCAAUGCUAAGAAGUACGAUACCAUAGGCUUGCCCUUAUUUUGUAUCACCACUAUGAUAAAAGUAUUUGGUUUGAGAUCUCAAAGUACCUUUUAAGCUUGUAAUGUAGGUUCAGGGUGAAUGGGUAGGAUAUCAUUUUGUAUGAUGUGACUACACCCUCUUUGAAAAUCU
rnacentral:lncRNA from 1 species